GUAAAAUGGCAGAGUAUACCACUUGCUCUGAAAGAAGGUGAGGGGCAUUAAAUUAAGUUACCAAUUUAACAUGGCUGGCACUGUACCUGCCACAGUCAUCGUUAUCUUCAAAUUUUAAAAAUCAACUUGCCGUUUUUCCACAGUUUUCUCUCACAGCACCCUCGUAAGUGCCCUCCCCACAAGAACUCAAACUUCGCCUGUAAUACCUUUAUUCUCUAUCCUUACAAACUUAAAAAUGGCUUUCUGUAUAAUAGCGUGACUCUGGAAAAUGUCUCAGACAGUGGUUGGAUUUUUACUCUUUGUCCCUUAUACAUGAGGUCCAGGCAGUGACUGGCGGACUACCUGAGCAUUCCAGUCCCGUCAUCUGGUCAUACUCUCCUUUUUCC
rnacentral:lncRNA from 1 species